ensembl:lincRNA
AAUAUGUUCGUUACCAAGAUUUUCCUAAGUCUUUGUUUUCUUGUUCAGAGUGAGUUUGGGAGUUUCCUCAACCGGGAUCCCUUGGGCCCUGUGCUGCUGGCAGAAGGUGAUGCUGAUGCUGCUGGUCUAGGAACCAUGGAUCAUCCAUUGAAAACCACUGGUUUACAAAAAGUGUCUGGGAAUGCUAGUAGAAAGGAGCCAAUGGUCACACUGCACAGAAUGCUCAGCUUGAAAGCUAUUCCUCCUACUUAGAGAAGAAUCAAGGCUGCUGUCUUGAGUUCCAUCUACAUGGAUGACAUUAUUUGGAGUCCUGUGUCAAAAGACUGAAAAUACUGGGUAAGGAUUCUAACUGACCUAGUUCUGGCUGAUAUCCACCCCUGAAUAAAUCACUACAGCCAAAAGUUAAGUAUUCUGAUAAGGAGAAUGUCUCUUUCAAUGGUAACUUUGUGAUGAGUAGUAGUUCUUCCCACAAACCUAGCAUGUGAGGCAAUCUUUUGGGUAAGCAAAACUUCCAUAUAUCUUAUAAUUGGUCAUGAUUUUCCCUCUUCUUUGACUAUUAUUAAGAUAAGUGAACACUUUUCCUCCAAUCUCCAGAGAAAAAUGUAAGACACGGUGUGAAGUGUGUGAAGCAGGAAUCCUGUCUGUGUUGUUCCUUGUUAUAGCCCCACCCAGGCUAGAGUCUGGCACAGUGGAAUCUUAAUGACCAUGUGUCAAAUGAAUGAUCAGAUAAUCAAUUAGCUUUAUUCUGUUUUUUCUACUAUUUCACCCUCUUCUGUUUCCCUGCUUACUAAUAUUUUAUCUUAUUGUUUUGUAUGUAAUUUUGAAAUCUACCUCAAAUAAAAAGGACAAGGAAGGAAAUUUUGGGGAUUUCAGGUGGCCAUAAAUAAACCUUUCCCAUCUUGAGUUAGAAUGAUUGACAGUAAGAUACAGGUUAAAGUCUAGUAUGAUAUGACUUUAUGUUUAGAGUCAAAUAAGCUUGCUUAUAUUUCACGCCAGGAUUACACAGAUGUGUCAGCCCAUCCAUUGUCAACCAUAAGCCUC